AACGAACGCUGGCGGCAGGCCUAACACAUGCAAGUCGAACGCUUGUAGCAAUACGAGAGUGGCAGACGGGUGCGUAACGCGUGGGAACAUACCCUUUGGUUCGGAAUAACUCAGGGAAACUUGAGCUAAUACCGGAUACGCCCGAGAGGGGAAAGAUUUAUUGCCGAAGGAUUGGCCCGCGUCUGAUUAGCUAGUUGGUGAGGUAACGGCUCACCAAGGCGACGAUCAGUAGCUGGUCUGAGAGGAUGAUCAGCCACACUGGGACUGAGACACGGCCCAGACUCCUACGGGUGGCUG
rnacentral:rRNA from 1 species